rnacentral:rRNA from 1 species
AAAUUGAAGAGUUUGAUCAUGGCUCAGAUUGAACGCUGGCGGCAGGCCUAACACAUGCAAGUCGAGCGGUAGCACAGAGAGCUUACUCUCGGGUGACGAGCGGCGGACGGGUGAGUAAUGUCUGGGAAACUGCCUGAUGGAGGGGGAUAACUACUGGAAACGGUAGCUAAUACCGCAUAAUGUCGCAAGACCAAAGUGGGGGACCUUCGGGCCUCAUGCCAUCAGAUGUGCCCAGAUGGGAUUAGCUAGUAGGUGGGGUAACGGCUCACCUAGGCGACGAUCCCUAGCUGGUCUGAGAGGAUGACCAGCCACACUGGAACUGAGACACGGUCCAGACUCCUACGGGAGGCAGCAGUGGGGAAUAUUGCACAAUGGGCGCAAGCCUGAUGCAGCCAUGCCGCGUGUGUGAAGAAGGCCUUCGGGUUGUAAAGCACUUUCAGCGGGGAGGAAGGCGUUAAGGUUAAUAACCUUGGCGAUUGACGUUACCCGCAGAAGAAGCACCGGCUAACUCCGUGCCAGCAGCCGCGGUAAUACGGAGGGUGCAAGCGUUAAUCGGAAUUACUGGGCGUAAAGCGCACGCAGGCGGUCUGUCAAGUCGGAUGUGAAAUCCCCGGGCUCAACCUGGGAACUGCAUUCGAAACUGGCAGGCUAGAGUCUUGUAGAGGGGGGUAGAAUUCCAGGUGUAGCGGUGAAAUGCGUAGAGAUCUGGAGGAAUACCGGUGGCGAAGGCGGCCCCCUGGACAAAGACUGACGCUCAGGUGCGAAAGCGUGGGGAGCAAACAGGAUUAGAUACCCUGGUAGUCCACGCCGUAAACGAUGUCGAUUUGGAGGUUGUGCCCUUGAGGCGUGGCUUCCGGAGCUAACGCGUUAAAUCGACCGCCUGGGGAGUACGGCCGCAAGGUUAAAACUCAAAUGAAUUGACGGGGGCCCGCACAAGCGGUGGAGCAUGUGGUUUAAUUCGAUGCAACGCGAAGAACCUUACCUGGUCUUGACAUCCACAGAACUUUCCAGAGAUGGAUUGGUGCCUUCGGGAACUGUGAGACAGGUGCUGCAUGGCUGUCGUCAGCUCGUGUUGUGAAAUGUUGGGUUAAGUCCCGCAACGAGCGCAACCCUUAUCCUUUGUUGCCAGCGGUUAGGCCGGGAACUCAAAGGAGACUGCCAGUGAUAAACUGGAGGAAGGUGGGGAUGACGUCAAGUCAUCAUGGCCCUUACGACCAGGGCUACACACGUGCUACAAUGGCAUAUACAAAGAGAAGCGACCUCGCGAGAGCAAGCGGACCUCAUAAAGUAUGUCGUAGUCCGGAUUGGAGUCUGCAACUCGACUCCAUGAAGUCGGAAUCGCUAGUAAUCGUAGAUCAGAAUGCUACGGUGAAUACGUUCCCGGGCCUUGUACACACCGCCCGUCACACCAUGGGAGUGGGUUGCAAAAGAAGUAGGUAGCUUAACCUUCGGGAGGGCGCUUACCACUUUGUGAUUCAUGACUGGGGUGAAGUCGUAACAAGGUAACCGUAGGGGAACCUGCGGUUGGAUCACCUCCUUA